rnacentral:rRNA from 1 species
UACGUAGGGACCAAGCGUUGUUCGGAUUUACUGGGCGUAAAGGGCGCGUAGGCGGCAAUUCAAGUCAUCUGUGAAAUCUCCGGGCUUAACCCGGAACGGUCAGGUGAUACUGUUUUGCUAGAGUGCGGAAGGGGCAAUCGGAAUUCUCGGUGUGGCGGUGAAAUGCGUAGAUAUCGAGAGGAACACCAGAGGUGAAGACGGGUUGCUGGGCCGACACUGACGCUGACAGCGCGAAAGCCAGGGGAGCAAACGGG